ACUCCAGUAUUCUUGCCUGGAAAAUCGCAUGGACAGAGGAGCUGGUGGGCUGCAGUCCACGGGAUUGCCAGAGCCGGACACAACUUAGCAGCUACACCACCGCCAAAACACUUACGAGCAUUUGGUAGUCAGUAAUAAGCUGAAGACAGAGGUUAUGUUUAAGAGCUGAGCAAUGGAAUCUUCCACACACACACUGGCCCUCGCCCCACGCCCACCAGCACGGGCCCCACGCCCGUGGCGCGUGUGCUCUCUCCCAUCUGGUGGCUGAAGCGUCUCACGGUGAAUUCCACACUGUGCUGUUUGAAACGCUUCAGCCUGUGUGCAAAAGCGAAAAAAGCCUCUCUCUUCUUCUCCAUGGCUCGGCCUCCGCCGCACCCUCCUCCUUCCUGUUUCGCCCUCUUGGAGGGGGCGGGGGCACAGCCGGUUUCACCAGGAGCGAUACUUAGGACUUCCUGAUGGCUCAGUGGUCAAGAAUCCACCCGCAGUGCAGGAGACACAGGAGACCCAGGUUAAAUGCCGAGUUGGAAAGGUCCCCCACAGAAAGAGAAGGCAACCAGCUCCAGUACCUUUGCUUGAAAAAGUCUAUGGACAGAAGAGCCUGGCAAGCUAUACUCCAUGAUGCUGCAAAGAGUUAGACACGACUGAGUGACUAGUGCUAAGGACUGGAGCCUGGGGCUGCAGCGCGUGGGCCCCAGAGUUGGGCACCCCUGAGCGGCCCCAGAGUUGGGCACCCCUGAGCGGCCCCAGAGUUGGGCACCCCUGAGCGGCCACACCACCGCGGGACACAUAUGGCUAACUCAGAACAGUGAUACUGUCGAUAAACUACUAACUGAAGUCAGUGUCUUGCUAUUGUUUCUACAGCUUGCACACUGAGUAUAUAAUGUUAAAAAAUAUUAUAGUUGGAAUAACUGAUUUCUCUGGCUGCUUAUGUCACCAAGUCAGCCUACAAACUCAUUUAUCUCUAAUGUUGACUGUUUCAGUUAGCUUUGCUUAUGCAAAACACAGAUGGGACCCUGUGGUCAACAGUGUAAAACAGGGACUUCCCGGGUGGCCAAGGGGCUGGGACUCUGCGCUCCCGGUGCGGAGGGCCUGGGUUCUGUCCCUGGUCAGGGAGCUGGACCUCACACGCUGCAAGUGGGAACCCGAAUGUUGCGGCCAAAGGUCCCACACGCCACGAGGAGGAUCAAAGCCCGGCCACCGCAAGGGCCCAGCGCAGCCAGACAGAGAAAUAAGGACAGAAACCCUGUAAAUCCAGGUUCGUCCCGCUUCACGGGCGUGCAGAGCCCGCCCAGGCCGGCCUGCCACGCUCUGUCAGCAGACGCCCUGACGCUGGGUCUCUGGGCUGUCUCAGUCUUUUGCUAAUCAAAUACCGUCACGAUGAAUAACUACAUACAUGUCACUCUGGGCUUCUGCCAGUGUAUCUUCAGGACAGAUUUCUCAAAGUAGCGUUACCAGCCCAAGGGCGAGCACGUGCGGGGCUGGUCCAGGUGGUGCCCUUCCCGACGGGCACUGUGCUGUCUCGCCUCCCACAGCAAGUGUGAGGUGCCCUGCCCCCAGCGAGUCUGUGGUCAGAUCUGGGCGCGGCCGACCUGGUAGGUGAGGACUGGGGU